GACGAACGCUGGCGGCGUGCUUAACACAUGCAAGUCGAACGGAAAGGCCCUGCUUGCAGGGUACUCGAGUGGCGAACGGGUGAGUAACACGUGGGUGAUCUGCCCUGCACUUCGGGAUAAGCCUGGGAAACUGGGUCUAAUACCGGAUAGGAGCCAUUUUUAGUGUGAUGGUUGGAAAGUUUUUUCGGUGUAGGAUGAGCUCGCGGCCUAUCAGCUUGUUGGUGGGGUAAUGGCCUACCAAGGCGGCGACGGGUAGCCGGCCUGGGAGGGUGGACGGCCACAUUGGGACUGAGAUACGGCCCAGACGCCUACGGGAGGCAGCAGUGGGGAAUAUUGCACAAUGGGCGCAAGCCUGAUGCAGCGACGCCGCGUGGGGGAUGACGGCCUUCGGGUUGUAAACUCCUUUCGCUAGGGACGAAGCUUUUUGUGACGGUACCUAGAUAAGAAGCACCGGCUAACUACGUG
rnacentral:rRNA from 1 species